rnacentral:rRNA from 1 species
AUGGUGGAUCGCAUCGCGCGGGACGAAGGGAUCGUGAUGAACACCAUCCAGUCCAAGUCUCUGCUCGGAGUAGGUUUAAUUGGGGAGGUACCAGUGCUGCUGAUAAAGCCACAAUCAUACAUGAAUUAUUGUGGUGAAGCAAUUGGACCGCUUGCUGCCUAUUACCAAGUACCUCUGAGGCACAUUCUUGUGAUUUAUGAUGACAUGAGUCUGCCCAAUGGUGUAUUGCGACUUCAACGGAAAGGUGGCCAUGGCCGCCAUAAUGGCCUACAGAAUGUAAUUGAGCAUUUGGAUGGCUGCCGGGAGUUUCCUCGUUUAUCUAUAGGCAUUGGUAGCCCACCUGGCAAAAUGGAUACACGAGCUUUUCUUCUGCAGAAGUUUAGUUCAGAGGAACGAAUUCAGAUUGACACCGCGUUGGAGCAAGGGGUGGAUGCUGUGAGGACCCUUGUGCUGAAGGGUUUUAGUGGAAGUAUUGAGAGAUUUAAUCUGGUCCAGAAGUACAAGUUCAACAGGGCUUGA